GACGAACGCUGGCGGCGUGCUUAACACAUGCAAGUCACGGGGGCCCAGCAAUGGGUAACCGGCGAACGGGUGCGUAACACGUGAGCAACCUGCCGAUCUGAGGGGGAUAGCCGGCCCAACGGCCGGGUAAUACCGCAUACGGUUUGUGAGGGACAUCCCUGACGAACGAAACCUCCGGGGCAGAUCGAGGGGCUCGCGGCCUAUCAGCUAGUUGGUGCGGGUAACGGCCCACCAAGGCGACGACGGGUAGCUGGUCUGAGAGGAUGGCCAGCCACAUUGGGACUGAGAGACGGCCCAGACUCCUACGGGAGGCAGCAGUGGGGAAUCUUGCGCAAUGGCCGAAAGGCUGACGCAGCGACGUCGCGUGGGGGAUGAAGGCUCUCGGGUUGUAACCCUUUUGUCGAGGAAGAAAAAUAGACGGUACUCGACGAAUAA
rnacentral:rRNA from 1 species